CUUAAAGGAAUUGACGGGGGCCCGCACAAGCGGUGGAGUAUGUGGUUUAAUUCGAUGCAACGCGAAGAACCUUACCUGGUCUUGACAUCCCGGAGACCCUUAGGAAACUAGGGGGUGCUUCCAUCUGGAAGAAUCUGGAGACAGGUGCUGCAUGGCUGUCGUCAGCUCGUGUCGUGAGAUGUUGGGUUAAGUCCCGCAACGAGCGCAACCCUUGCCUUUAGUUGCCAGCAGUUCGGCUGGGCACUCUAAAGGGACUGCCGGUGUUAAACCGGAGGAAGGUGGGGAUGACGUCAAGUCCUCAUGGCCUUUAUGACCAGGGCUACACACGUACUACAAUGGCCGAUACAAAGGGCAGCGACACUGCGAGGUGAAGCCAAUCCCGUAAAAUCGGUCUCAGUCCGGAUUGGAGUCUGCAACUCGACUCCAUGAAGUUGGAAUCGCUAGUAAUCGUGGAUCAGCAUGCCACGGUGAAUACGUUCCCGGGCCUU
rnacentral:rRNA from 1 species